GGUAUAACUACGAGUAUCUUCUAC
rnacentral:siRNA from 1 species